rnacentral:rRNA from 1 species
UCCGAACACAGCAGUUAAGCUCGUCUGCGCCGAUGGUACUGCAUGGGCGACUGUGUGGGAGAGUAGGUCGCCGCCAUCG